UAACUUGGUUAGGUAUAUUUUGUUCCAUUAUUAUUUGUGUGCGUUUGUUUAAUUGUGAACUAAUGUAAAAUGUCAAAUAAUAAAUCAGAAAUAGUAACAAAUGAAAUUACUCAACUAUUAACGGAUUUAAAAAUAGUGAUUCACAGCUUAUCAGAAAUAGCGACACGUUUGGAAAACGUGUCUAGUGACUACAUAUUAAAUUCUUCUGCAUUUGAUGCCGGCACACAAAACACUGACACGGAAGAAACUAAAAAUAAAACAUCUGAAGCCAAGAACAUUAACAUGUUAUAUAAUAGUCGAAACAAGACCAUCAACCAUAAAAAAAACUCGACUUCGUCCAAAUUACAUGACACGGAUACACGUGGAAAGAAAAAGGCCGUCACCGCAGAAGCUUUUAAUCAAGUUAUAAUAAAAUCAAAAAAAAUAGAUAAAAGGGCAGCUUCGUCUCACGUAAAAGAUGUAAAAAAAAAAUUUGAAUAUAACAACGUAAGAAGUCACCAUGGUAGUGAAGAGAGCGUAGGCAAAAUGAGCGAAGAUGAUAAUAAAAAUAAAGAAAUAAAAGUAGACGUUCGAAGUUUAAAACAGAAAUUUGAAUUAGAAUCAACGGCAGCAACUGAAAAUGUCCCCUUGAAAAUAAACGAUGAAAAGAGUAGAAGGAGCAAAGAGAGCGGAGAAAAAAAUAAACCUUAUAAGACUCAGAUAUCAGAAGAAUAUAACGACAAAGUGAAAAAGAUUCUAAAGUAUUUUCAACCACAAUCUUCAUGAUCGAAGUUUCUUUUUUUUUUCGCAAUUUCUCUGCGUAUUGAGCUGACCUCGUAAAUUAUGAUAGAAUGUAACAAUAAAAUUACUGUUGUUAUUCCUGUA